rfam:Heterocephalus glaber contig49965, whole genome shotgun sequence.
GUCUAUGGCCAUACCACCCUGAACGUGCCCAAUCUCAUCUGAUCUUGGAAGCUAAGCAGCGUUGGGCCUGGUUAGUACUUGCAUGGGAGAAAUUAACCAAUUUUCAAUUUUCAGAGACAUUCUUU